UACGAAGGGGGCUAGCGUUGUUCGGAUUUACUGGGCGUAAAGCGCGUGUAGGCGGGCCGGUAAGUUGGGGGUGAAAUCCCGAGGCUCAACCUCGGAACUGCCUCCAAAACUGGCGGCCUGGAGCAAGAUAGAGGCGAGUGGAAUUGCGAGUGUAGAGGUGAAAUUCGUAGAUAUUCGCAGGAACACCAGUGGCGAAGGCGACUCGCUGGAUCUUUGCUGACGCUGAGACGCGAAAGCGUGGGGAGCAAACAGG
rnacentral:rRNA from 1 species